UGCAUGUCUCAGUGCAAGCCAAAUUAAGGUGAAACCGCGAAUGGCUCAUUAAAUCAGUUAUGGUUCCUUAGAUCGUACCACUUUACUUGGAUAACUGUGGUAAUUCUAGAGCUAAUACAUGCAAACAGAGUCCCGACCAGAAGUGGAAGGGACGCUUUUAUUAGAUCAAAAUCAAUCGGUCGGCUCGUCCGGUCCGUUUGCCUUGGUGACUCUGAAUAACUUUGGGCUGAUCGCACGGUCUCCGUACCGGCGACGCAUCUUUCAAAUGUCUGCCUUAUCAACUGUCGAUGGUAGGUUCUGCGCCUACCAUGGUUGUAACGGGUAACGGGGAAUCAGGGUUCGAUUCCGGAGAGGGAGCCUGAGAAACGGCUACCACAUCCAAGGAAGGCAGCAGGCGCGCAAAUUACCCACUCCCGGCACGGGGAGGUAGUGACGAAAAAUAACGAUACGGGACUCAUCCGAGGCCCCGUAAUCGGAAUGAGUACACUUUAAAUCCUUUAACGAGUAUCC
rnacentral:rRNA from 3 species